UACGGAGGGGACUAGCGUUGUUCGGAAUUACUGGGCGUAAAGCGCACGUAGGCGGAUUUGUAAGUCAGGGGUGAAAUCCCGGGGCUCAACCUCGGAACUGCCUUUGAUACUGCAAAUCUCGAGUCCGGAAGAGGUGAGUGGAACUGCGAGUGUAGAGGUGAAAUUCGUAGAUAUUCGCAAGAACACCAGUGGCGAAAGGCGGCUCACUGGCCCGAUACUGACGCUGAGGCACGAAAGCGUGGGGAGCAAACAGG
rnacentral:rRNA from 1 species